UACGAAGGGGGCUAGCGUUGCUCGGAAUCACUGGGCGUAAAGCGCACGUAGGCGGUCUCUUAAGUCAGGGGUGAAAUCCUGGAGCUCAACUCCAGAACUGCCUUUGAUACUGAAGAUCUUGAGUUCGGGAGAGGUGAGUGGAACUGCGAGUGUAGAGGUGAAAUUCGUAGAUAUUCGCAAGAACACCAGUGGCGAAGGCGGCUCACUGGCCCGAUACUGACGCUGAGGCACGAAAGCGUGGGGAGCAAACAGG
rnacentral:rRNA from 1 species